rnacentral:lncRNA from 1 species
CUCACUGGCCCCGGGCCGCGGUUCCGCGGGUGGCCGCUGUACGCUUGAGACACCUGGUCCGCAGAAGUCAGGUGCCCUGGCAGGAGGGACUGGCUUAUGCCACCCUGUGCAGGAUCGUCUUCUCAGCUUACAGAGCCUAGUGUGAUUCAACAACCCUCCAUCUCUGCCCCCAACAUGCCCAACUGAUCUGGUGGAGGGAACUGAAGAUGAAGGCCUCUCAGGCACCAUGGAUGGGAUGGGUGUGUGUGAAGGGGGCAGGGUCCCCAGGAGCUGCCCCAGGUCUGGCUGGACAGUUGCACGGGAAGUCCUGU